rnacentral:tRNA from 1 species
GCUUAGCUUAGUUGGUACAGCAUAAGACUCUUAAUCUUGUGGAUUCAAUCACCACAUUGGGCA